AUGCUUAUUUGCACAAAUGCAUGUAUUACAGAACCAUGCAAGAAUCCGUAAGUCAAUGCUUGAGUAUCAUUCGUCUGUCUUAACUUUCUCUGCUAUAGGAGAUAAAAGGAGCAACAAAACCAACAUAUAUCUGAUGGCAUAAAUACACUAUGACAAUGGCUCUACUUGACUGCAUGCAAAGAUAUGGUGACAAUACUAAAAACUCCUACCAGUCCCUCUUUGAAGCUUCUCCAAGUUGUGCUAUCUUCGUUGAAAAUUUUGUAGUACUAAAGUUGCUGUGUAUGAGACAAGAAAAUUUUAGAGAAAUUUUCUACAAAACCAGAUACUUUCAAGCCAAAAUCAAAUUCAAAUCCAAUUUUGAUGGAAUUUCUUAAUGAAGAGAGUUUCGUGUUGAUUGGUGAUUGGUGUUACUUGAAAUUCCUCUCCGUUUGCUUGGAGCUAAAGCCCACGUGGUGGGAUCUUUUCUUCUUUUUACUGUUGGUAUUUUAGUGUGAUAAAUAUUUGCUGUAAUCCAAGAACAGCUUGUUUUUGUUGUAUCGGUAGCUGGCAUUUGUUCUAGAGAAGAUUGUUGUAAACCCAUAUUUUAUAGUGAAAGAUUUUACUAGACUAGGUCCUGUGGUUUUUCCCUUCUCAUUGAAGGGUUUUCCACAUAAAAAUUUGGUGUCUUGAUUAUGGAUUGUUGCUGAAUUUUUUUAUUUAUAUUUGUUAUUGUGCUUUGCUAAUUUAUCUGAAAUAUCCAUUAAAUUUGUACAAA